AGUGAACGCUGGCGGUAGGCCUAACACAUGCAAGUCGAACGGCAGCACAGUAAGAGCUUGCUCUUACGGGUGGCGAGUGGCGGACGGGUGAGGAAUACAUCGGAAUCUACUUUUUCGUGGGGGAUAACGUAGGGAAACUUACGCUAAUACCGCAUACUACCUACGGGUGAAAGCAGGGGAUCUUCGGACCUUGCGCGAUUGAAUGAGCCGAUGUCGGAUUAGCUAGUUGGCGGGGUAAAGGCCCACCAAGGCGACGAUCCGUAGCUGGUCUGAGAGGAUGAUCAGCCACACUGGAACUGAGACACGGUCCAGACUCCUACGGGAGGCAGCAGUGGGGAAUAUUGGACAAUGGGCGCAGGCCUGAUCCAGCCAUACCGCGUGGGUGAAGAAGGCCUUCGGGUUGUAAAGCCCUUUUGUUGGGAAAGAAAGGCAGCAGGUUAAUACCCCGCUGUUCUGACGGUACCCAAAGAAUAAGCACCGGCUAACUUCGUG
rnacentral:rRNA from 1 species